CCGCCCUCCCCUUCCCGCCAAGUAUCAUCACAAACCCUACUCCCGUUGCAUGCUGGGAUUGUAGUCCCGAAGCCCUGCGAACAAAGGCCAAAAGCAGUUAAGAAACUACUUCUCCCAGCAUGCCUCCCUCCAGGUGUCCUUACCAACCCCACUCCCGUUGCAUGCUGGGAUUGUAGUCCCGCAGCCCUGCGACCAACGGCCGAGAGCGGCUAAGACACUACUCUUGCCAGCAUGUCCUGCAGUAGGGCACCGCGCUAUGUCUCCCUCCAGGGAUCUGCACCACCUACAAUCCCGUUUCACGCUGGGACUGUAGUCCUGCAAGCCUACAACUAACAGCUGGGUGCGGAUAAGGGACUACAGUUCCCCUCAUUCCCAGCAAAGGUCCCGCCGCCACCGAGCUCCUCCAGGAUUCCAGUGCAGUUCCGCCGUGCGGAGGGAAGCUUGGCUGUUCACAAACCUCUCCUGCCCUCGAGGAGACAGCUUGGCAGGAGCGGCCGAUCUCACCUUGUCAUUGUGACACGGUGUCUCCCCAAAGUGCCGACUUCAUGACUUGUUGUGCCCAAAGUUUAAUUUCCCACAGAACAGGUAGAGGCCAAGAGCUUCUCGCAGCCUCAGCCGCAGGGUUGCCAUGAUGCACCUACUGGACCCCGGGCUGGCUGUAUGGCCCGCGUCUGGGUCAGGCCUCGCACGCAGACGCUCCUGCCACCGUGAUGAAGAGGAGAAAAUGUCCCAGGGGAAAGGCCUGACCUUGCUGCAUUCAGUCAGGAAACAGCCAUGGGGAAGGGACCCCCUUAAACUACUUUGGGAGCCACAUCCACCACUUCUCUGCCCCCUACCCAGGCUGGUUCCCAGGCCUUGGGGUCCUAGUGUGGACCUCCCUGCCGUAAUUAACGCAGGUGCAGGACCAGAGAGCGCCUUGGUCCCUCCGAACACAUGAGGAAAGUUUGUGUGAUUAACUCUUAAGUACUCCACAGCUACACGCUUCUGAAACUGGCGGAGGCACAGCGUCAGUUCUGUACAGGGCGGACGCAGCAGGACAGAAUCUCCCUGGGCAUCUUUCUGGAGCAUCAAAUUUACUGCAAGAUUUUAAAGAAACAAAUUUAGUUGAUUUCCAAGGUAAGAAAUUAAACCUUGAAAACUAGACUAAAAAGUCAUCUGCGCCUGACGUAUCGGACUUUCUGCAGGAAGAAAACUCUAAGGAGAGCAUAUUGUCCAUUAUUAUAAAUAGUGAAAAUGAGAAAUCAUAACAAGUCCCUUGAAAACCCUGCCCUGCCAGCCUUCUAAUAGGGCCUUGGUGUGGUUUUAUGUGGAUUUUCUUUUUGAAGUGUGCUCACCUUUUGAAUAUACAAAUUUGGGGGUUUGACUAAAUUUUGCAAGUUUUCGGCUAUUGUGUGUUUGCUUUUGUAUCAUAUUUAAUUUUUCUGUCCUCUCUCUCCUCAGACUCAGUCAUUCCACAGGUCUCUAAGGCACUUUUCAUUUUCUUCAAACUUGUUUCACUCUUCAGAUUGGAUAAUUUCUAUUGCUGUCUUCUGUUUCUACUCUGUUUAUAAACUCAACAGUCUUUUUAGUUUUUCGUUUCAUUAUCUCUCUAUUCCAUUCUUUUUAUCAUUUCCAUUUCUCUGCUGAGGCUCCACGUGAGUUAAUUCAUUAUGAGGAUAUUUUCUUUUAUCCCCAUGAACAUACUUAUAAUAGCUGCUCUCAAACCCUUGUCUGCUGAUGACAUCGUCUUGGACAUCUUAGAAUUAGCUUCUGCUGCCUGCUUUUUAUCUUGCGUAUAGAUUACAUUUUAACAUUUCUUCACACAUUUCAUGAAUUUUGAUAUUGUGUACUAGAAAUUAUAAGUAGUAGUUAUAGAGACUCUAAAUUCUGUUGUAUUCCUUUGAAGAGGAUUGUUAUUUGAAGAGGGGUUAAUCUGAUUAGAUUCAAACAGCAAUACCUACCUCACCUACAGUGGACACAGUUGAAAUCCUCAUUCUGUUACCGCACACACAUACAUGUAUUAUAUAUGGUUGUGCAUUCCUAUGUAACUGUACCUAAUAUUUUAUCCAGAUUUUAUCAUUGUUACCUGUGAGAGUGUUUAACAAGCAACUCUAGCAUUACUGAAAGUCAGAACCUCACUUUUGUUUGCUUAUUGGAUUUGAACACGUAAUACCUUUGUUUUCUUUUGUAACAUUUUUCAAUUUGAAGUCUUAUUUGGUCUGAUAUUAAUAUAGCCAACGCAGAUCUCUUUUGCUUAUUAUUUGCUUGAAGUACUGUUUUUCUCUUUUCACUUUCAACCUAGUUGUGUCUUUCAAUCUAAUGUGAGUCUUGCACAAACAUGAUAGUUGAUCAUGUUUUUGUUGUUGUUGUUGUUGUUGUUGUUGUUGUUUUUUGAGACGGAGUCUGGCUCUGUAGCCCAGGCUGGAGUGCAGUGGCCGGAUCUCAGCUCACUGCAAGCUCCGCCUCCCGGGUUCCCGCCAUUCUCCUGUCUCAGCCUCCGGAGUAGCUGGGACUACAGGCGCCCGCCACCUCGCCCGGCUAGUUUUUUGUAUUUUUUAGUAGAGACGGGGUUUCACCAUGUUAGCCAGGAUGGUCUCGAUCUCCUGACCUCGUGAUCCACCCGUCUCGGCCUUCCAAAGUGCUGGGAUUACAGGCUUGAGCCACCGCGCCCGGCCGGAUCAUGUUUUUUAGUCUGUUCUGCUGAUCUCUGCCUUUUAAUUCGAUAGUUCAAUCCAUUUACAUUUAGAAGAAUUAUUCAUAAGUAGACUUCUGUCAUUUUGUUAUUUGUUUUCUGUAUACUUUGUCUUUUUGUUUAACAUUUUCUACAUUAUUUUCUUCUAAUGUAUUGGGUUGAUUUUUUUUAGUAAAAUAUUUUAACUUUUUAUUUUCCUUUGUGUAUAUUCUAUAGCUUCUUUUUGUGAUUACCAUUAUGGUGACAUUUAACAUCUGAAUUUAUUUAUUUUAAUUGCUGCAUAGUAGUAUAUUCAAUUAUAUGAACAUAGUAUAAUUUUUAAAUCUAUUCUACUUUUGAUAGUCAUCAUUGGGAUAUUUAAUAUGCUUUUUUUUUAGGUGAGUAUUGAGUUUACAUAAACAUUGAGCGGAACUUACAGAGUUCCCAUAUAUCCUCUCCCUACACCCAGCUUCUCCUCUAUUAUUAACACCUUACAUUAGUGUAGCAUAUUUGUUACUCUUAAUGAACUAAUAUAGAAGAGUUAUUAUUAACUAAAAUCUAAAGUUUUCAUUGAAAUUCAUGUUUUCUGUUUUACAUUCUGUGGAUUUUGACAAAUGCAUAAUGACAUGACACGUAUCCAUUAUUGCAUUAUACAAAAUAGUUUUAUUGUCUUAAAAUAUCCACUGUACCCCAUCUAUUCAUCUCACCCCUUUUUCCCCCAAACUUUUAGAAAGCACAGAUCUUCUUACUGUGUCCAAGGUUUUGCCUUUUACAAAAUGUCAUACGGUUGGAAUCCUGUAGUAUGUAGCCUUUUCAGACUGUCUUCUUUCACAGCCGUAUGUAUUUAAGGUUCCUCAUGUCUUUUCAAGCCUUGAAAUCUCAUUUUUUAAAAAUCAGUGAAUAAUGUUGUAUGGUUGCACCACAACUAGUUUAUUUAUUUACCUAUUGAAGAACAUUAUUUACCUAUUAAGAACAUUAUUUACCUAUUGAAGACCAUCUUGUUUUGUUCCAUGUUUUGGCAAUUAUGUAUAAAACUGCUCUAAACAGUCACCUGCAGAGUUUUGUGCAGAUGAAAGUUUUCACCUCUUGGAUUAAGGCCAAAGAGUGUGAUUGCUGGAUUGUGUGUAAGUGUAUAUUUAGCUCUGUAAGAAACUGGCAAACUGUCUUCCAAACUAGUCAUAAACUUUGCAUUUUCACCAACAAUAAAUGAGAGCUCUUGUUACUCUAUAUCCUCACCAGCAUUUAGUGUAGCCGCUGUUUUGGAUUUUAGCCAUUCUAAUAUGUGUGUGGCAGUAUGCCGUUGUUCUUUUCAAUUUCUCAAUGAUAUAUGCUGUUGAGCAUAUUUUCAUGUGCUUAUUUGCCAUGCUUAUAUGUUCUUUAGUAAGGAUCUGUAUCAUUUGCCAUUUUAUAAUUGGGUUGUUCAUUUCUUAUUCUUGAGUUUUAAGAACUCUGGGAUUUUUUUGCAUAUUUUUGAUACCAGUCUUUUAUCAGUUAUGUGUUUGGCAAAUAUUUUCUCCCAUUCUGCGGCUUGUCUUUUUAUUUUUUAGCAGUGUCUUUGGCAGUGCAGAAAUGUUAUUUUUAAUAUGGCAAUAUUAAAUACAACUAAGCUACUGGGUGAGCUCUAUCAAUGUGUUUUGAGGCAAUCUUGACGUUAAGGACUCACGCUAUCACAUAUUCAGCAGCUUAGACUAAAGGGAGGAAAGCAAGGUGCUUGAGAGGGCUCUCUUGCAAGUUCACUUAUGUGUUAGGUCAAGUGCUUGGCUCUGGGAUGGCAGGGGACAUGGAGCAUGACAACUGCAAUUCUGUCUCCAGAUGGGAAAGUAGAAGGGAGGAUUUCUUCCCAACCUUCAAAUUCUUCCAAGAGAGAAUGCUGAUUUGGAAUCUUGUCUUUCUUUACCAUUUAUUUCAGAAAGGUUGGAUCUCUAGGAAGUGUGGGUCAUGCUCUUAGUUUUCUGGGUUGUUUUUUUUUUUUUUUUUUUUGAGACGGAGUCUCGCUCUGUCACCCAGGCUGGAGUGCAGUGGCCGGAUCUCAGCUCACUGCAAGCUCUGCCUCCUGGGUUCACGCCAUUCUCCUGCCUCAGCCUCCCGAGUAGCUGGGACUAUAGGCGCCCACCACCUCGCCCGGCUAGUUUUUUGUAUUUUUUAGUAGAGACGGGGUUUCACCGUGUUAGCCAGGAUGGUCUCGAUCUCCUGACCUCGUGAUCCGCCCAUCUCAGCCUCCCAAAGUGCUGGGAUUACAGGCGUGAGCCACCGCGCCCGGCCAAUUUUCUGGGUAUUGUCUUUUGUACAUAUCACAUGCAGUUGGUGCUACUGAUGGGGCCUGGACACUACCUAGCUCUGCUGAGCUCCUAGCUCAAUGUACUAGACCAUUGUAUUGUAUUGUAUUGUAUUUUUUGUUUCCAGCAUUUUCUUUUCAAAGCUGGUGAAUCCCAGGUUAUGCAAACUUUCAUUUAACAACAUUCACAUAAUCCCUAAAUUCAGCAUGGUUUAGAACUUGUUAGGUCCGUUUGCUAUAUACAAAUGCCAUGCCUCCAGUUGGUACUGAGGAAUGGUUCCCCACUCCUGGUUUAAAGGCAUUAACACUGAGAAUGGUGGAAAGAGAGCGUAUUUCCCAACACUGCUUUGCAACAUCUAAAUCUUUCAUAGUGGCCUAAUCCACUCAUUGCAUGUUGGUUCUCAGUGUGGGGACAAUGAGGGCAUUACUGAUUUUAGACUUGUUUUCAUCAACUAGCUCAUCUGUGUGGAGUUGAGUUUAGAAAAAAAACAAAACAAAACAAAACAAAACAUAAAAGUUAAUGCAGCAUGUGACACCCUCUGUGGAGGAUACAUUGAAAAUACAUCUUGGCUGGGCGUGGUG
rnacentral:lncRNA from 1 species